rnacentral:lncRNA from 1 species
UGCUGACCUGAUAACAGGCCCUAACAACAUGUACUCCAGAGAAAUGGUUUUGGAGAAAAAACAGAUACACUUACAGUACGGUAGGGUAAGUGACAGGAAUGUGUCGUACUAUUAUGAUAUACCAGGUAAACCAGAACUUAAGUAGAUAUUUCCUUCUUAUCAGCAUCAGCUGAAUAAUUCUCAAAAAAAGAAGGUGAACAAAAAUUUCUUUUUUGGGAGGUGAGCCCCAUAUGUGACCACUACAGAAGCCCAAUAACGGGAUUUGACAUUUCAUCUCACUGACUGUGGACACUGCAGUUAUAGUAAUGAAUUUCUGGUUUUGAAAAUAUUAGGCUUGGGAAUACUGGCUGUGAUGGCAGCAAAGACCUUGUGGAAAAAAUUCUGCCUGACUACGACUCUUUAAGAAGGGUGUUCUCUGAAUUUGGCUAAAGCUGAUUCAGGAAAAAUAAAUGACAAAUAAAGAGGACAAGUAGGUUUAGAAAGAACUUAUUUACCACUUUAAUAGGGCUGUCCAACAUUUGGUCACAUAGAUCAUUCUGAAACCUAAUUGCUUUAAUGGUCUUCCUAUCUCUCCAGAAGAGAUCUAAAUACUCUUAGAAAAAGCAAAUCAAACAUAGAAAGGGUGCCAUGAUAAGACUUGCUACAGCACUAUGUACUUAAUGAUGCCAGACUUUGGAUUUACUCAGAGGACAUUUCUGUAGUCUAGGACAGCUAUACAAAGCCUUAAGACAUUGUAUUUACAGAACUUAUUAAUACAGGGAUCCAUAUUCUACUAUAACUCUGCCAGAGUCUUAAUAGCAUGGUGGAGCAGCUCCCUCAAGAAUCUUCGUUUUCUUAUCUGUGGAAAAACUAGUAGUUCUAAAAAUAUUUUCCUGGAAGAGGUUAGAACGGUUAUUAUAUAUCAAUUGAAUAUAAAGUAUGGUUAUGUAAGCCAAGCUUGCAUGCUAAUAUUGCACAGGGUAGAAAGCAAUAAACAGGACGAUGUGCUUCCUGGAGCCCUCUGGUAGAAACAGAAGGAAGCUCUUGAUUCAAUAUUGUUAGGAUGCCUCAGAUUCCAGGAGUCCACCUGUAGCUGGCCUUCCAGUGUGACUGCCAUGUCGAACUCUCAAAAGGGCACGUCUUCCUUGCCGAUAGAAAAAGAAACGACAACAAAACAAAACACCCAAAACUCAAAGAGGUACACCAGCCGCCUCAAACUGUGGUAUUGUUCAUUUCUUGAAGAGAAUAUAUAAUAUUUCAAAAUAUUAUAUAUAUAUAUACAUAUAUUUCAAAUGGUACAAAGUAACUAUAGAUCCAAAUUAGAAGAUAGUUGAUUUGUCUUCGUAAUCCCCAAAAUUUUCACUGAGAAAACCCUUUUUUAAAAUCCACUUUCCAUGGUGUUGCCGAAAACUCUGAGUCUUCUCACUGUAGGAUACUUCGUGACACGCAGUAAAAGUACUAUGAUUAUCUGGUAACCAGUCAAAGUGCAAAUAAGAAAUCCAUUUGGCUUGUAAUGUGUUAGAUGUUUUAAAUUCUUAAAAUGUAUUUUCUGCAGAGUUGGUUUUCCUUUACUACUACAACAAAUGCUUCCGUUAGGUUCUUGGGUGAAU